CCUACGGGUGGCAGCAGUGAGGAAUAUUGGUCAAUGGCCGGAAGGCUGAACCAGCCAUGCCGCGUGAAGGUCAGUGCCCUACGGGUGUUAAACUUCUUUUGUGCGGGAGCAAUAAUGGUCACGUGUGGCCAGACGAGAGUACCGUACGAAUAAGCAUCGGCUAACUCUGUGCCAGCAGCCGCGGUAAUACCGGGGAUGCAAGGGUUUUCAGGAUUUUUUGGGUGUAAAGGGUGCGUAGGCUGGGAGGUAAGUCAGCGGUGGAAUGCCCCCGGUCAACGGGGUGAAGUGCCAUUGAGACUGCCUGGCUGGAGUGCGGAUGCGGUGGGAGGAAUGUGUGGUGUAGCGGUGAAAUGCAUAGAUAUCA
rnacentral:rRNA from 1 species